rnacentral:rRNA from 1 species
ACGGGGGGUGCAAGCGUUGUUCGGAAUCAUUGGGCGUAAAGAGCGUGUAGGCGGCUCGUCAAGUCAGAUGUGAAAGCCCUGGGCUCGACCCUGGAAGUGCGCGCGAUACUGUCAGGCUUGAGUGCUGGAGAGGUGAGCGGAAUUCCCGGUGUAGUGGUAAAAUACGUAGAGAUCGGGAGGAACACCAGCGGCGCAGGCGGCUAACUAGACAGAUUCUGACGCUAAGAUCCGAAAGCGUGUGGAGCAAACAG